rnacentral:misc_RNA from 1 species
GUGAAUCAUCGAAUUUUUGAACGCAAAUUGCACUCUCUUCGGAGAGUAUGCCUGUUUGAGGGUCAGCCUAAAAAAAAUCGACAUCGUUGUUGUUUCGCGGUGGAGUUCGUCGGAAAUUGGGUUAUCUUAUAUCUUUGGUUUAAGCGACUUAAAAUUUUCUUUACGAUUCCAUGUAGGUUUCCAAGUUUUAUUUCUUUACACGUUUAUGGUAUCGAUUUUUAUUAGACGUGACUAUAAUAUCGGAUCGCGGCCAUAAUAUUUUAUUAACUGACUUUAGA